GUGACCCGGCCGAUGCAUCGUGACGUUCAUAACGUUCAUCCACCUCCCGGCUCUUUAAAUCGCGUUUCGCCGGCCGGCGUCACGUACGGCGGUCUGCGGCCGCACUGUACGCUUCAUUAUGUUGAUUAUUCGGGGAAUUAUGGUUCGAACGGAGUCGACGCGGCUAAGUAAUUAGAUGCGUGUACAGUGGUAACCUCGAUCGUCGGAUCCAAUUGGCUGAUUAGAGGCUCAUGCAUAUGGAAAGUCGAGGAGGCAUUGUUCGGAGGAUGUUUCCAAGAUUCUGUUACAUAUACCGUGAGUUCUGAAUACAAGGAUUCGAAGUGUUAGGUUCGCGGACGGUCGGAACUCCGAAUUGUUUGGAUUAUGAGAAACGGUGACUCGGUUCUGCGAGAUCCUACUGUAUAAAUUCCGACGUCUGUAUGCAUGUAUUCAAACGUAAUUCGUGAGAACGACAGUUUGUCGGACAAUGUAUUCAGCGCAACUGCAGCUUUAGGCUUAAGCUGGGCGCACACGACAGAAAUGUCGCGGUUCAGUUUGUUUUGCAGUUCCGUCUGGCAGAAAGAAGGAUAAAAGAACUUUAUGUAAUUUCUGCUCGCGCAUGAAAUUGACUGCGUCUUAACGUGUCGCGAAACGUGAGCGUCGUCAAUAGACACGUGACUGCCGGCUCCUGACAGAUGGGAUAUUUGUAAGUGAAUACGUGGAAACUUCUCUGUGCGUUUCCAUGAAUCGAUUGAAAAGUGAAAACAAUGGCCCCUUGGUGAACUGCUAUCUUUCAUAAAAUAAAUACACAAGUCGAUCGUUUAAUGAUCGUAGCAGAAGGAAACAGAAAAUAUGCACUCGGAAUGCUCCGGGAGGUUGAAUUCCAGAGUGUUCCACAGAUGGAUACAGCAGGUAAUCAAUAGUCGGAGCAGACGAGUUUUAUACGCGUGCAUGUAUGCAAGCGGGUAUAUAUAAACUCGUGUUUUCGUUACUGGAAAACGAAAAUGAGUGCAGCACACUGGGAGAAAUAUGUCUCGUAAAUAUGUAUUCGAUUCGACCUAGAUUCCUCCAAAGUUUCUUCGUCUUCGAUAAUCAUUAGAGUAUUCUGUAUUCGAGGAUAAACACCGUUCGUCUCGGUCGUUGAAAACAAACACGCCCGACAGUUUCGAAUGUGUACGUGACAGCUUUGGUUUUAUGCAAGCCGACGUGCCGCGGAUCACGUAUCUCGGAAUCGGCUGUUUCUAAUGCAAGAGCACUAAACACGCGAUCAUCCCUGACCUAGGUUCACCGAGAUUCUUGUAGAAUGUCAAAGCUAUAUUAAGCAUGGAAACGAAUUAAGACAGAGUGCGUUUAUCCGCUUCAGUCCGUACUGCACUCGACAAAAAAUAUUCAACCCUUCGUCGGAAACUUGUAAUGCUAGGGUGUGUACUUUCAGCGUUCGCAGUUCGCGUGUUGCGCAAUCGUGUGUAAUUAUCGGGGGAAAUAAGUUUUACAUCGCGUUCGUUUGAAACGCGGUGCAUCUAGCGACAUGCAUCAUUUUUCUCCGUAAUCAACGCAAAUAAAUAAUGUGACUACGAAAGGAAUUGUGUAAAUCGUUGCAUAUCUUGCGACCAGUGGUUCGCGUGUUCCUCGAAUUCAUCGCGUUGAGAGAGGUUUAAGGGUUGCAUAGACUUUCUCGCUAACUUUUCUCUUGCUUUCUUUCUUCAUUGUCAUUUUUUGUGUACAUUCGUAUUUAGAAUGAACUGGUAUUACUGCUUUCAUUGUGUUGAAGAUACGGUAGAAAUUUCUUCGUUAUUUUAUGGUAAAAAAGAUUCUUGAGCUUCUGAUAUCAGAGACGUUGAUUUAUUCGAGAAUUAGAAAAUACGUCAUUGAAAUGGUACUGGUUAUUUCUAUUGAUCAUGCAGAUGUUUCUCUGCUAAACUCCACUACGGAGAUUCGUGUAUAAGUGUGACUGCAGCUUAACGUUCUAGAUGCAUCUAUGGACCGUCCUACUAUCGAUUCGGUUUCUGACCAAGUUAUACCUGCGAGAUCAUCUGCGCAGUACACCCAGGUCUAAAAUAGUCACGGCGGUGUACUGAGAGAGAUCUGCUCUUUCACUGAAUAUUUACUAAUCAUAUCGCGGAGCGUUUUGGUAGGCUGACGAAAAGAAACGACAGAAUAAAGUUCAUAAACAGAGUAAUAUUUAAAUAGAACCUCAGCAUGGGACACAAAGGGUUUCGAAAUAAAAUGAUCCUUGGGAGACGCAUGACUGUUAUAAAUAACACUCCCAACGCAGAGUUACAAGCGUUGUCACGAAAAAUAGUAUCCCUUUCGUUGCUAUAAAUAGCACCGUUUCAGUGUCUGAAAUAUUGUUUAGCCAUUCUGAUCCAAACAUAAAUACAACAUAAUCUACCAACUCAAUCACGAGCUGUAAUAAAGGAUCGCCAAUAAAAACGAUUUAAAACUUUCGAUUUAUUUCGAACUUCAUAAUAUUCACAGGAUGACAAAUAAAUUAUUUCAAACAUGAUUUUACAUAAAGCUUCGUAGUAUACCUACUAAAUACACAUGACAAUAAAUUACGAAGAGGAUCAUUCAAUUUAUUUUGCAAUAUAAUAAUGCAACGAAAUAAUUAUCCUAAAAGUUCACUUUCGUAAACAUAAAUAGAAUAUCGGCAGUGAAAGUGCGAGCAGCCUGGCCCUCGAAAUGAUUCAAGAAAGUAUGAGAUGAUCGUAAUGGAGGAGGAAUAUGAAUCGCGCGCCAUUUUGUGUCGCGCAGCGACAUCUCCGGAGGUUCCGCGAACCCUUUCGUACAUCGCGGAAGACUAUUACUGACGGACGAUAAAUGAAUGCGAAUGUUCCGUACCUGGCGACUCUUUACGAAGCUACCUUAUAAACGAGUUGCAGCCUCCGAUUUGGCAUUCCGUUUCUGGAGGAGUCCGGAUGCUCGUCGCUCUCCAACGCGACCGGCUCCAAAACGUUGAUCGUUUUCAUCUCGGUGAAGUCAUGCUUGUCGUGCACAACCUCGGUGUACUCUUCCUUCUUCAGCGCGAAGAGGAGUUGAUAAGUGUACGUGCCGAGCAGAGCGCCGAAGGUCGGUCCGAUCCAGUAAAUCUGAAGAAAGGCCGGUUUAAAAAUGAUUAUCGGGGAUUGGAAUGCAAUCUAAUCUCUGCAAUGCCGAGCAAAUGUUUGCACGCCUCUCUCCCUAAGCAUGUGAAGAAACAAUAUCAUCUAUGCCGAUAACGUUAGCCUUAGAAAGCAUAAGGUUAUCCACGGGUAUAAGCUUCUUAUCUCAAAUGACAAAGAUUAGAUCGUAAAGCGACCGGAUUAUGCAACACACUCCGCAACGAGAAGCUGUAAAUCAGCUGAAGGUUCAAUAAAUUCAGCUAUUAGAAAGGUUUACCGACUUACCCACUGAUUCUUCCAGUAGCCGUGGAAGAGCGCUGGGGCAAACGUGCGAGCUGGGUUCAUGCUGCAGCCGG